rnacentral:tRNA from 1 species
ACCUCUGUAGCUCAGUUGGAUAGAGCGCCGCAUUACGGAUGCGGAGGUCCCGGGUUCGAAUCCUGGCAGGGGUG